CAGAGGACAGACCGCGUGUUCAGUAAACUGAGAAUCGAUCUUGAUACUUUUUUUUUCGUUCAUUCUCUAUUGAUUCCGGUUCCAGGGAUUUCUUGUGCAAAUAUCCGUGCAAAUAUCCACCUUUAAAGGAACUUGGAUACAAGAUUCUUGGUGAAAUGAUAUCCAUUUAUGUUGUCUGAUUCCAGACGUUUCAGCACCUUCUGGGCAAAAGUGCUGGACAGUGGAUUGCUGAAACCUGAAAGGGGAAACACCCAGUUGGUAUAAGGCUACAUACUACAAGGCAACAGCAAACAUUAAGUCAAUCACAAAUGAUGGUGAAGAUGAAAAAUCCUUUCCACACACUACCCUAUCUUACAACAACAGCAUGUUCCUGGCUCAUUCGAUCCUCACUCUGAUUGGGUUUCGAUGGCCAUUCAUGCUCAUUUGAUUAAUUUCGUGCCAGCUAGUGAAAGCCGAAAGGCAUGUCAUAUUGACUUAAAUUGAGCUGCUGCGUGCUGUCUCGAAGGAAUGCAAUCAAGCCGUUGCGUUCAGUCAUUUGAAACAGGAAUCUAAUGGCUGUCAAUAGGUGGCUGAAAUGAUGUCCACCAGAUGACGCGAGUGUCUUCACUCUUUGUUCCAAGACGCAGCAGGUUGUUGGUUGUGAUUGACGUUUCUCACGAUGAAAAUUAAAAGGUGAUUUAGCAAGAAGAAACCAAUUGGCCAAAUCAUUCAACUCAGACUUGGAAGUUGGAAGUGCCUGUACAUUUCCGAAAUGGCGUGCCUCGUGUGUCUCGCUGUCUGUUCUUAGGCGUACGUCUCAUCCCAUGCAACAUCAAAAAGUAUAACAAACACUUCUUUAAUGCUGGUGGUUACCUUGUUGCAGCCAAAUGGUGAAAGGUGUGCUGAAGCCAGAUUGAACCGUUGUAUGCAGCAUGUGGUUGCAGUGUAAUCCAGAAGUUGCUGUGCUGUUGUAGCUGAGCUGUUCCAUCUGGGUUCCUGACUUACAAAUUUGUGUGUUGUUGUUUUCAUCCAUGCCAUGAAUUUGUUUUAUCUGUUGUCUUUUGAGUUUUCAUUCAAUCAUGCAGUAUACGACUGAGGCAACCUGAUCAAUAUCAGGUUUGACACAGUCGAGAACUGCUAGAUAAAACAAGCUCUGCGCCAAACAAAUAAUAACUUGCAUAUAACUUGCAUCAUGUUAUUAUCGCGGUAGAGAAAGCGACAGGCCCCCCCUCCUGGGGGCCAUAGGAAAAAUAAAUGUAUGUAUGUGAAUAUUAUGAAAAUAAAUUUUGUAUGAAAUAAAAUAUUCGUAUUAAU